GAAGGGGGGGAUCUUAGGACCUCCCGCUACAGGGGCGGCCGAUGGCAGAUUAGCUAGUUGGUGGGGUAAAGGCCUACCAAGGCGACGAUCUGUAGCUGGUCUGAGAGGACGACCAGCCACACUGGGACUGAGACACGGCCCAGACUCCUACGGGAGGCAGCAGUGGGGAAUUUUGGACAAUGGGGGAAACCCUGAUCCAGCAAUGCCGCGUGUGUGAAGAAGGCCUUCGGGUUGUAAAGCACUUUUGUCCGGAAAGAAAUCCUCUUCGCUAAUACCCAUGGGGGAUGACGGUACCGGAAGAAUAAGCACCGGCUAACUACGUGCCAGCAGCCGCGGUAAUACGUAGGGUGCAAGCGUUAAUCGGAAUUAYUGGGCGUAAAGNGUGCGCAGGCGGUUUGCUAAGACAGAUGUGAAAUCCCCGGGCUUAACCUGGGAACUGCAUUUGUGACUGGCGGG
rnacentral:rRNA from 1 species